rnacentral:rRNA from 1 species
GACGAACGCUGGCGGCGUGCUUAACACAUGCAAGUCGAACGGAAAGGCCCUGCUUUUGUGGGGUGCUCGAGUGGCGAACGGGUGAGUAACACGUGAGUAACCUGCCCUUGACUUUGGGAUAACUUCAGGAAACUGGGGCUAAUACCGGAUAGGAGCUCCUGCUGCAUGGUGGGGGUUGGAAAGUUUCGGCGGUUGGGGAUGGACUUGCGGCUUAUCAGCUUGUUGGUGGGGUAGUGGCUUACCAAGGCUUUGACGGGUAGCCGGCCUGAGAGGGUGACCGGCAACAUGGGGAUGGAGAUACGGCCAAGACUCCUACGGGGGGAAGCGGUGGGGAAUAUGGCACAAUGGGCGGAGGCCGGAGGCAGCAACGCCGCGUGCGGGAUGACGGCCUUCGGGUGGUAAACCGCUUUCGCCUGGGACGAGGCGUGAGUGACGGUAAUGGGAAAGAAGCACCGGCUAACUACGUG